UACGUAGGGUGCAAGCGUUGUCCGGAAUUACUGGGCGUAAAGCGCACGUAGGCGGCUUUGUAAGUUAGAGGUGAAAGCCCAGGGCUUAACCCUGGAAUUGCCUUUAAGACUGCAUCGCUAGAAUUGUGGAGAGGUAAGUGGAAUUCCGAGUGUAGAGGUGAAAUUCGUAGAUAUUCGGAAGAACACCAGUGGCGAAGGCGACUUACUGGACACAUAUUGACGCUGAGGUGCGAAAGCGUGGGGAGCAAACAGG
rnacentral:rRNA from 1 species